GGGGUAUUUUAUGGGGUAUUUUAUGGGGUAUAUGGGGUAUGAUAUGGGGUAUAUGGGGUAUAUGGGGUAUGUUAUGGGGUAUAUGGGGUAUUUAUGGGGUAUAUGGGGUAUGUUAUGGGGUAUUUAUGGGGUAUAUGGGGUAUUUAUGGGGUAUAUGGGGUAUUUAUGGGGUAUAUGGGGUAUGUUAUGGGGUAUAUGGGGUAUUUAUGGGGUAUAUGGGGUAUGUUAUGGGGUAUAUGGGGUAUGUUAUGGGGUUGAGGGUAUAUUAUGGGGUCAGAAGAAUAUUAUAGGGUCGGAGACUCAGUCCAUAUACACAACAUCCAUUUUAUUGUGGGUCCCAAUGUGGGGGUCCAUCCAUUGGGAUGUUAUGGGGUAUAUGGGGUAUAUGGGGUAUUUAUGGGGUAUCUAUGGGGUCUCUAUGGGGUCUCUAUGGGGCGGCCUUGCCCUGCGCCCUGUGCUGUAGGUCCUGCUGUAGCUUUGCCAGCAGCUCCCGCUGCUGCUCCGACCUCUGCUCCAUGUCCUGCAUCUGCUGCUCACAGCGCUUGCUGUAUGGGAUUAAUUCAUACGGGAUUAAUAGGGGAUUAAUAGGGGAUUUAUAGGGGACUAAUAGGGGAUUAAUAGGGGAUUAAUAGGGGACUAAUAGGGGAUUUAUAGGGGACUAAUAGGGGAUUAAUAGGGGAUUAAUAGGGGACUAAUAGGGGAUUAAUAGGGGAUUAAUAGGGGACUAAUAGGGGAUUAAUAGGGGACUAAUAGGGGAUUAAUAGGGGAUUAAUAGGGGACUAAUAGGGGAUUAAUAGGGGAUUAAUAGGGGAUUAAUAGGGGAUUAAUAUGGGGUUAAUGGGAUUAAUGGGGUUCAUGGGAUUAAUGGGAUUGGGAUUGGGAUUAUAUUGGGAUCAAUGGGAUUGGGAUUGGGAUCAAUGGAAUUGGGAUCAAUGGGAUUGGGAUUAAUGGGAUUGGGUUUGGGAUUAGGAUUGGGAUUAAUGGGAUUGGGAUUUAUUGGGAUUGGGAUUAGGAUUGGGAUUAUGAUUGGGAUUAAGGUUAGGAUUGGGAUUAAUGGGAUUGGGAUUAAUGGGAUUAAUGGGAAUAGGAUUGGGAUUAAUGGGAUUAAUGGGAUUGGGAUUAAUGGGAUUGGGAUCAAUGGGAUUGGGAUUAAUGGGAUUAAUGGGAUUAAUGGGAUUAGGAUUGGGAUCAAUGGGAUUAGGAUUGGGAUCAAUGGGAUUGGGAUUAUAUUGGGAUCAAUGGGAUUGGGAUUAAUAGGAUUGGGAUCAAUGGGAUUGGGAUUAAUGGGAUUAAUGGGAUUAAUGGGAUUAGGAUUGGGAUUAAUGGGAUUAGGAUUGGGAUUAAUGGGAUUAGGAUUGGGAUUGGGAUUAAUGGGAUUGGGAUCAAUGGGAUUGAGAUUGGGAUUAGGAUUGGGAUCAAUGGGAUUGGGAUUAAUGGGAUUGGGAUCAAUGGGAUUGGGAUUAAUGGGAUUUGUGGGAUUAGGAUUGGGAUUAAUGGGAUUAGGAUUGGGAUUGGGAUUAAUGGGGUUCAUGGGAUUAAUGGGAUUAGGAUUGGGAUUAGGGUUAGGAUUGGGAUUAAUGGGAUUGGGAUUAAUGGGAUUAAUGGGAUUAGGAUUGGGAUUAAUGGGAUUGGGAUUGGGAUCAAUGGGAUUGGGAUUAAUGGGAUUAGGAUUGGGAUCAAUGGGAUUGGGAUUAAUGGGAUUAGGAUUGGGAUUAAUGGGAUUAAUGGGAUUAGGAUUGGGAUUAGGAUUGGGAUUAAGGUUAGGAUUGGGUAAUGGGGGCUCUAGGGGUCCUAUAGGGGGGGUAAUGGUGCGUCUUAUUGGUGGGGUAAUAGGGCGGAUGAUUGCGGGGGUAAUAGGGGAUAUGGGGUUAAGGGGGGCUAUGGGGGGUAAUAGGGGGCUAUGGGGGGGUAUAGGGAUAUGGGGGUAAUAGCGGGCUAUGGGGGUAAUGGGGGGCUGUGGGGGGCAAUGGGGGCUAUGGGGGGUAAUGGGGCUAUGGGGGGAUAUAGGUAAUGGGCGGCAUGGGCACCGGUAAUAGGGGGGAUUAUGGGGGUUAAUGGGGGAUAUGGGGGCGUUUAAUGGGGUGAUAUGGGGGGUAAUAGGUGCGGAUUAUGGGCCGUGUAGGGGGAUAUUGGGGUAAUAGGGAUUGUAGGCGAGGUAAAUGGGGGAUAAUGGCGGGGCUAUGGGCGGUAAUAGGGGGAUAUGGCGGGGUUAAUAGGGGGUAUAUGGGGUUAAGGGGGGGCUAAGGGGAGUAAUGCGGGGCUAUGGGGCGGUAAUGGGGGGCUGUGGCGGUAAUGGGGGGCUAUUGGGGGAUAUAGGGGGUAAUGGAGGGGGUAAAUGAGGGGCUUUGGGAGGUUUAAUAGGGGUCUAUGGGGGAGAAUGGGGCUAUGGGGGAACUAGGGGGGUA
ensembl:lncRNA